UGAUCCUGGCUCAGAUUGAACGCUGGCGGCAGGCCUAACACAUGCAAGUCGAGCGGUAACACAAGGGAGCUUGCUCCUGAGGUGACGAGCGGCGGACGGGUGAGUAAUGCCUAGGUAUCUGCCCAGUCGAGGGGGAUAACAGUUGGAAACGACUGCUAAUACCGCAUACGCCCUACGGGGGAAAGGAGGGGACCUUCGGGCCUUUCGCGAUUGGAUGAACCUAGGUGGGAUUAGCUAGUAGGUGGGGUAAUGGCUCACCUAGGCAACGAUCCCUAGCUGGUCUGAGAGGAUGAUCAGCCACACUGGAACUGAGACACGGUCCAGACUCCUACGGGAGGCAGCAGUGGGGAAUAUUGCACAAUGGGCGAAAGCCUGAUGCAGCCAUGCCGCGUGUAUGAAGAAGGCCUUCGGGUUGUAAAGUACUUUCAGCGAGGAGGAAAGGUUGUUGGUUAAUAACCAACAGCUGUGACGUUACUCGCAGAAGAAGCACCGGCUAACUUCGUGCCAGCAGCCGCGGUAAUAC
rnacentral:rRNA from 1 species